rnacentral:lncRNA from 1 species
GGUGAUCUGCUGGUACUUGUAGGAGGCGUAGACGUCGAGGCGGUCGUAGUAGACGCCGACGCGGUCGUUGGGGUUGCGGGAGGCGAGGGUGACCUGGACGGUGGUGGAGAGGAGGCCGCCGGAGGAGUUGGAGAGGUCGAGCUGGCGGAGGGAGGCGUCCUGCAGGUAGAAGCGCGGGUGGGUGGGGCGGAGCACGAGGUAGAGGAUGAGCGCGAUGACGCCGACGAGGACGGCGAGGACGACCAGCACGGUCAGGAGGCGCUUGCACCCGUCGCGGAAGUCGUCGUCGCCGUGCUUGCCGCAGUCCUUCAGAAGAAGAAGAAGAAGAAUUCUUCUUCUUCUUCUUCUUCUUCUCUGCUUUCGCUUCUCUUGUAAUCCUUUGCUUAAUUAAUUUCUGAGCUUAAUGUGAGACGGGUGGAGUCGAAGAGGAGAGGAGAGAAGAAAAUGUGGUGGUGGUGUUAAGAGUUAGAGAGAGGUGAUGGACUGAUGGGGAGGUGAUGUGGGGAAGAAGCUGCUUCUUCGUCGUCGUCGUGGAUCCCUGGUUGGGUUGGGUUGGGGGUGGCUUUUGUUUUUUUUGCUUGUGGCUGCCGGCGCCGUACGUGUAUGCGCGUCAUGGGUUAGGCUGGCUCAAGGUGUGUACCCCCGGGAGUGGAUGCCGUGCGAGUUGUGACACGUGUCCUAAUUGUAUGUAGUAAUAUGCCAUCUCUCUCAAAAUAAAUGAAAUUUUAUGUUUCUGAAUAGAAUUUUAACUCUUCGUCUUAUUAAAAUUUUUUUAUGAUUAAUAUUUUAUUGUUACUAUAUGAUAAAAUAUGAAUAAUACUUUACUUGCAACUAUUUUUUUAAUUUUUUAAUAAAUUUUUCAAAUAAUACGAAUGGUCAAACACUCAACCUACCAAACCCAGAAAUCAUCUUUUUUUUUUUUUGAACGGUGUAGUAAACAGCUACUAUUUAUGUAUAAGGAAAAUGGUGAAAAAGAAUAUAAUAAAUUGGGCGGGAGUGCCGUAAAUUAAGUACUGUCUACUUUUCUGUAGUACUAAUCAAUCUAACCGUAAAAAAAAAAUCCCCAAAUCCCAUCCAUGACGCAUGUUAGCUUUCAAGUUCUUCCAGAUUUACGUAAGAGUAUCUCAAUCCAUAUAUACCCAUGGUCACUUUCUUUCAUGGAUGAGCUCCAUUCUGAAAUUGGAGUGGUACAGUUACUUCAAUCACUACGACUUUGUAGUAGUUCGAAAUUAGUUGCAACUUUCUAGAAUAUAUCUUUAUUACUGUAAAAGUAAUUUAGAGAAACUCUUGUGUUUCAAAGGGGAUCUAUUAAGAGUAAAUGCGACCAAAGAUAACUUCAUCAAAGUAUUGUGUUAAACCAACUUCUCGAAUCACGUGGGACUACAUAUUUAGUGCUUAUCAUUCUUUCUGAGUAAAUUUUGAAAAGCUAAAACUAUCUACUUUAAAAUAUGUGUUAUAUAUAUGCUAUAUACCGUACCAUUGCUAGUGUUUAAUAGUAUACAAGAUAAUUAUAGUUUUCAAUUGCAAAAAAAGAAUAAAUACUUUUACCUCUCUAUAUUUUAAAUACCUAAAUUAUAAAUCCUGAAGCCGCCACUGUUAAAACAUCUUAUAAUAUAAAACAACAUGAAUACUCAACUUCUACACUUUGAACCACAAACACCUGUAUUGGUUAAAGUUAAAGUUUUCUUAUGAAACUGUUUGCUACCAUUGUAAUUCUCCGAAACUUUUGUUGAAGUUGUAGCAUAGCGAGAGUUUUGACUAAUAGUUAUUGUUUUAUAAAAUUUACUCUUUUUUACAUUGAUGUGUGAUUCCUUUAAAUACAGUUUUAUCAGUUUAUCACUAGUUUCCAUAAUGAUAUGAUUACAAAAUCAAAAAGAAAACAUCAUUUUACGGGAGCAUAUACAAAACGACAAGUAUCUACUACUAUAACAGAAGACAGUAGUUACAGACUAUGAAGAAUUGCUCACAGUAGGUCAGGGAGCAAGUGAUUUUUCUACCUAAUUUAGGUGAAUCUUUUGAUCGAUCAAGUAGCCCUAAUUGGACCUUUCUACUUGGGUAGUACUAGUACCAAUGUAGCUUGUUGAUGACAUUUAUGCAUUGCUAUGCUGGAGUCUCAGGACGUGUUUGAGGGAAUUUUUUUCAGCUGCAGUUUUUGGGUUAUAGAAUGUGGAAAAUGAAUUAAAAAGUCAGAAGUUGAGUUUCAGAGUUUUUUCAGAUUUUCAAAAAUUAGCUACUAAACAGCUGCUUCUUACAAUCUAAAAGGCUCCCUAAACAUACCUAGUCCAUGUGCUCUUGUUUUAUUCAUGGUGGUUGAGAUGACGCCAAGGACCAGCCUACCUGACACCGCUCACUUGCGAUGGAAUGCCAAAUGCUAUUGAAAAAAUUGGCUUUGAGUUUGUGGCCCCGGAGAGAAUAAGAUGAUACGUGCUGCUGGUAGAAGCUAACAACUUGGCUUUGACGCCAUUAAUCAUCAACGUGAUGAACAUGCACUUACUGUUUCAGAUUUUCAGUAGCUCCCAAAACUGAUGCGCCAAAAAUCAUGCACAUCUUCUUGGGAAGUUAUGCAGUAUCGCUGGUUGCUUGGAAUGGCAGCGAUGUCACCAUAUAGAUCACGUAGGAGCAUGUACCUCUACUACUCUGCUGUUGCAGUAAUCAACCAUCAAUCAAUUAAACCCUAGAGGCAGGCCAAAUCCUAGUCAUCAAGCAGCACAAGUACCUCAUACGCAUUUCAUUUUUUUUUUUUUGCCUUUUGCAGCUGUUAAGUGGCUCCAACGAACGAACAAAGUGGCUUUGUUGUUUGUUCGUUGGGUUAGGAGGGAAAUUCUAGGGCGCUUUCCUUCGCCUGGAAUCCGGUUCUUCCUUCUGCUUUCAUCAGCCUUUCAAUCUUUCUCCUUUUCUUCACUUCUAAUAAAUAAAGCGUGCAGUCAGCUGCCUGUUAGUGAGUGCCAUCUACACAAUAUGCAACCAUUGCCAUAGCUGAAUUCACCAUUGGUCAUGCAGCAAGACUAUUCUUCACUAUUGCAGGCUCUCAGGGAUGUGAGAUCAAACCAGCCAUGUCUUGCUGGGUAAGGCUUUCAGAUCACCAACCAUUUUUAUUUUUAUUUUUCUCAAGGUCAUCUGCAAAGCACUUUGCAGGACGCUCCCUGGCAACCGUCACAAUCUCGAAUUCAAUCUCCAACCCUUUCUGAUAGUCUGAUGGCGAAAGCAUCAAGGAAUCAUCAUGCCACAGCAACCAGACCAACCGAUGUUUUUCAAAGCAACAGCUAACAGGCUAGGCAGGCAGAUUCUGCUAAACCUUCCAUUGUGGUCACCACCACACAAAAGAGAGACCAGAUCUUCUUCCUACUCCAAAUUGACCACCUACCAACCAUGGUCCUAAAUACCUGAAUUCUGGCAUGUCUGUUUAUCUAUCAUCAGCUAGCCCUCCUUCAUAACUCAAUUAAGCCACAUGUUUCCAGUUACAGAUCAUGUUUUUGCAAGAAAUGGUGGUAAUCUUUGCUUACAGCUACACAUCACAUGACACCAAGAAGCAAGACAAACUUUGCAAAGGACGACGAGUUGAUCCAGAUCAUCUUUGCAAUUUGCAUGCAGUUUGUUAUAUCGAAACAUUUGUAGAAGAAUUAAAAUUCUGAGAGAUGGCCACCAUAUGAGCUAAAUUAACAAAUGCCAUGCUUACCAAGCACAGCAGAAUGGAAUUUGGAUGAUAGGUCUAGUCCAGAUUUUAUACUGGCUCGUCCCAAUUAUUAAAGGCUCUCAUAUAGUGCCAGCAAAACUUUCUCAUAGAAACACCAAGAGGGCAAUAAUUAACAAAAGCAAAGCAAACUAAUGACAGACCAAACAAUUUUUGAGUGCGUCGCUUUAACAAGCAAGCAAUGAUUAACAAACUUAGAGAUUAUCCAGGGAUCUGAUAAUGAACAUGGAAAAUAGUAAUUAAUUAUUGUACGAUAGUAACAUAGACUACUGAUGAAAUUGAUUGAGUUCAAUAAAACUUCCAUUACCUAAAAAAAAGUAACAUAGACUACUGAGAAUAUACAGAGCACCACUAUCAGUAGUAGUAUAUACUUAUCAGAAAAAGAUGUAGGAAGGGCAUCAGUUCCUACGUUACUAUCAGAGAUGGUUUCAACAUAAACAUAUUAUUCCUAGUAGACAAUGAAAGUUGGGAAUAUCUGCUUCACCUAAAAUCACUUCAUUCAGAAGUUACACAGUUUUGUUUCCAUCAAAGGUUACCAAAACCAAAAUUUAUCAUCUGAAGUAAAUACUACUAUAUGCCAAGGAACCAUAAAGGCAUAAGCCAAUUACAAAACUGACAAGGCCGCACAAAAAUGGAUUUGCAGAUUAUAAAUAAAAGAGUUCUUUUACCAUCCUUGAAACGAUACCUUUAGGUAAUAGGUACCUGCUUUACCAAAAUUUUACACUAAUAUUUGGUAUCUCGAGAUACUUUCUCAAGGACCAUAAAAUUUCCUUAAACAAAAAGAAACUAACAAUCCCUGAAAAGAGACAUUAAUAUAAAAUAAAAAACUAUAACACCUUAUGUGAGUAACGCCUUCUCGAACGUAACAUGGAAGAUAGCCAAUAGAAAAUAAUGAAAGAACAUGGGAUCUUGCCAGAGUGGCAUUAUUUGGGGUUACUAGUAUGCUAUUUAAGUAGGUCAGCAUCAUAUAUGUGAUGAUGGCAAAUAAGGUUAGUUGCUGUAGAAUUUCUUGUUCCAUGCUCUCCUGCAAAACUUACAAGCAGUGCUCUUCCCUUUAUCCAGCCUUUAUGCUCACCGCUUUUGUUCACCAAAUUGCUGUCCAUCAAAAAACUCACCCAGCAACUGAUCUACAUUCUCCGGGGAGUAUCUGAUGUACUUAUUUGGGUUCUUCCCAUGUUCAACGAGAUUUCUGGAAGUCAAAAGAGUUAUAAAAUCAUAUAAUAAUACCAAUGGGUUGAUCAGCAGAAAUUUAAGGCCAAAAAUGGAGUACAAAAACACAGAUAGGAAGCCAUUCUACCAUCAAAGUCCCUAUCACAGGUUAAUGCACAUAAAUAAAUAUAAAAAAUUAAAACAAAAAAGGUAACACAAAGAGCAAAAACCAAUGGAAAAAUGGCCAUAUAGCAUAUGCCCAUUUCAUUAUGAACUAUUAAUCUGUAGCCAGUUAACUAGAUGGACAUAUGGCAGGAAAGCUAAUAAAAAUGCUAAUCAACAAUCAACAUACCCAAAACGUUUGACGAAAGACCGAUAGGCUGGCAAGAGAACUUCAGCAACAGCAAGCCUCAGAGAUUCUCGCAAUUCUUGAUCGGGUAUAGUCCAUUGAGAUUGCUUAGCAUGAAGCUCUUCAAAUUGCACAUUGAAGGACUUAAAUCUGGCAAGAGAAGAGUAUGCAAUUUUGUGACCUCUGUUGUUUGUUACAUAUGCAAAAUAUUGAACAAACAUGCUGCUACAUUACAGACCGCUCUUUAAUCAUAGCUCUUGAAACUCCACUAUUACUAAGAUCAGCUGGUGAUGAACCAGUGCUACCAGCACCUGGAACAGAGAGUGUUUGAAGAAUCUGAAAUAAUUCAAACAAGGUAGUUAUAGCAAAACAGGAUCCUUGUUCACUGUACUUGACAAUUUACAAGCAGUGGUGUAGCCAGGGGGUGGUCCGGGUGGGCCUGUGACCACCCCGGAUUUCACUAAUCGAUUAAUCAUUACAAAUUGCAGUAUUUCACUAAUCGCUAAGCCAUGUUCGAAUCAAAAAGCUAAGAGUUUAGACAAACCAUAUUUUCUGAAUUUAUUAGGUGACCAUGACUCAUUUUCCUGUAAAUGCUUAUAGUGUUCCUUUCCUUUGUUCAUUUCUUAGCAAAUACACAUGUACAUUUAUUCCAACAACCAGCAAAUUGCAAUUCUACAUAUUAAUUAAACAGAAUUGUUGCAUCUUGCGAAUUCUUCAGUCUUCGUGCAUGUUGAAAAUUAUGCACUUUUUAUAUUGUCAUCAUUUGAAUAAGUAAUAUUUAUAGUCGACGGAUACCUAUUUAUUUAAUACAUUUUGGUUAGAACUAUAUAUGCAACUAUAGGAAAAGUAAGUCAGGCACCCUUUGUUUUGCUCUAGCUCCAUGGCUGCCUAAGGAUGCGGGCCACCCGUCGGUACUGCCUAACCUCUGGAGUCCCCUGUUUUGUAUGUGAUACUAACUUGUGUGGUAGGACUACCUAAGGAAAAAUUCCCGGCUACGCCACUGUUUACAAGAGUGAACAAAAUCCUGAACUAUCCAGUCUAACCAGAAAUUAUGCACUGUUAAACAAGGAAUAGGCAUGAUACAACAGCACUGCACAGCGCAUGCAUACAAAACCAUGUCUUAUGGAAUUCAGCAGUUCACAAUUUUUCACUUCACAAAUUAAGUUAAAUUUAUGAUAGAUUAUGCAGAACAUCAAUUUUUUGCCAGGAAAGCCCAGACCGGGCCAACCAAUUUCAUUAAGAGAUGCAGAACAUCAAUUGACUCAAGCUUAAAGUAAACCUAAAUUCAAGACAAUAACCUCUGCAGUUGAAUUAUAAAUCCUUGCUUCAAGUGCAGUUUUAGCUGCGAUAAAAUCAAUUGAUGUUUUGAUCAGUUAUUGCUAAAUUGCUACAGGUCUUCAAUAACUGCCUACACUAUCUCAAACAGAUAGAAGAUCAUAGUUUCUCUGCAUGAGCCACACUGACAAACAAAAUAUAACAUCCUAGUAAGGGAAAAGAGAGUACUAAAACAUAACAAAUGUAGUAUGCCAGAGACUCAGAGUACUGGAGAUUUCAUUCAGGCACUGACCUUUGCCCAUGCAACCCUUUUGUACUGGUUGGCAUUUUGCUGUACAACCCUGCGGUGCCUCUGAAUCCAGUCAUCACCAAGUAUAUCCUUGGCUUCUGAUCUGAGGUGACAAAAAAGUUACUCCUCUCAUAAUUAUAUCAUAUUUAAACUUCUCAAAUUGUUAAAGAAUAUAAACCAUUUCAUAGUUCAGAGAGAACAUUUCACAACUCCGAAAAUUCAAGGGGUAUAGUUUGGACAUUUUCCCAAUAAUAUAUUAUGCCUUAUUUUUUCAAGAACAAUGUUCCAUAAAAUAUUUUCGGGUGUACUCUUAACAAUAGAAAAUAACUUUGCACAUACUUCCACCCAAUUCAUUAAUGCACUCAUACAGUCCCAGUUUAGCAUGUACAGGUAUUCACAGUUGAGUGUCAUAUCAUAUGCAUUGCAACAUUAGAAGAAAAUUGACAGCAUGCAACAUUAAAUUCAAAGAUCUCUACCCAGCAUAAAAAGGACACAAAAUUAACAGGAGUAUAGUGGACAUCUUAGACAAUACCAUAAUCCAGAUGUAAUAUUCUAAUACGUCAUCUAAAAAUGAAGAUCUGAGGGAGUAUUGAACAGGUCAACUUCCAGGGCAACAACAGAUGAAGGCCUGAAGCAUAAAAGGAAAUAUACCUGCGGACAGAUCUAACCAUAUAGUGAAUGUUGUUCAUAAGAAAUAUAUAGGUCAAUGCAGGAUCCUUAUACUGCUUAGAUUUCCCAUCUAAGUUGUUCUGAAGGGCCUGCAUUAUCUUCAUUGUAACAACUGCAAGUUGAGAUUCAGUCUCACUACCAGUAUCAAAUUCUUGAAAUAGUAUCUUCAGUGUUGACUGAUAACUGCUCAAGUCAAACAUAUAAGUUUGUCAAAAUGAGUUGAAAAACAUAAUCAACAAUUGAACCUCGCUUAAAGAACUAAAACUUGGGUAUAUAUACUGAAACAAUGGACCUAAGAGGUUUUUCAAAGUUUUUUGGAUCUGUCUCAGCAUUUACUAGUAUUACAGUAUCCAAGUGUGUUAAAAGCAUUUAUAUGACUAAUACAUGUUUGAUGGUGGAACAAAAGGGAAAAAUAAGGACAAUACAAAAAUAAACUACUAACAGAAAAGAGAAUGCAUUAUUAGUUUGUCACUACCCAAAGGAGAUGAUGUAUUCAAUAUUUGCCUGAGUGAAACCAUACAUAGAUACUAAUUGCAACUGCAACUAGUUGCUACAGUCACAAAUCCUCUACAUGUCCAAGAAUGUGCUAACAGUGAUACUUACUCAAACAGGAAUUUGACAUAAUUAAUAACAUAGCUAGUCAAAGGAUGCACAGUCCCAUCCUGGACGACAGUCUUGGAAGUAUCCUUUUCAACUGCCUCCUCAAAAUCAGCAAAUGUUUCUUGGGCUGUCUGUGCUAAGCGCCUAGUUAAGCCCAAUGCAGCCUCCCGCAUCUCAGAGCAAAAUCUGCCUUCAAAAAUUUCUUCAACCUGACAGUGAGGUUCAAACAAAGGUAAAAGUAGAAUUUUUGCAGUCUUCACACACUUAAAUAAUUAAAGCAGAUGGAGUAUCAAGAAUUGCAAAUGCUAGCACUACAAACUUGUCAGUGCAACUUCCAUAUGGUAAAUAACUACUACACAGCAGAACCAGGAUGCAAUUAAAUAUAUGAACUUUGCCUUGUACUUCUGUAUGAAUUAUUUCCAUCAUACCUCUGGCUGGAGUUCAUGCAUUACUUCAUACAUGUCUAGCAACACAAAUAAUUUUUCAGGUGACCUUUUACUUUUAGCAACAGCAUCUCCAAAACUGAGAAGUGUCAAUACACUACUCCCUGCCAACUCAGCAAAACAUUGAUCCUUGUUGAAAGUAAUACCAUCGAAAACCUGGUCACAAAUUCUCCGUUCUCCAGCAAGUAAUAGUUUGACCUGAUUGAAGCACAUUCUGUUAGUUUCAUGUCUGGAAACAUUCACUAGGAAAUUGUCCAAAAGAUCCUCACCGCAAUUCGCAUAAACUGGGUCCAGUUUCCAAUUUUAGCCUCUAAGGCUUCCCAUUGCAUUCUUUGUACAUCAUCCUUACUUAGUUUUUCUACACCUAGUUUCCGUAAGCUCACUUCCAAAGCCGAACCGCGAGAGUCUCUGAACAAAGAGAACUAAUUUGAAGUAGCUGUAGGUUCUGGAGUUACAAACCAGUUCAAAAGCCAAUUGAAAGUGGGAAGGAAAGGUCAAAACCAUCCAUAGAGCAAAAAACUCCACAAAUGAAUGGAUGGGAUAUAAACGAAUAUUAUGAAUUGUCUAGCAAUAAUUAGAAUAAUUACAUGUCAAGCUAACAUAUCAAACCUACCUGUAGAUUCUAUAGCAUGACUGCUGAUUUCCAGCCUGAACUAGUUGCUGAGCUAUAUCAUGAAGAAGUGGUAAUAUUCUUGGGGGAAUCAGUGUUGGAGUCCUGCAUACACCAGUCUCCAAACCUUUGGAUGGAUGUUCAGAGUGAGUGGAGUGCCCUCCAUCUGCAUCAUGGUCAGAUUUUGGUGCCCGUGGAGGCUUUGGAAGGCAAUCAAAUAGGCGAUCAGGUUCAAUAGGUUUGCUGAAAGGACAGGAAUAAAAUACUUGAAGAUCUAUUGCAAUACAAGAUAAAUUACCAUGGGCAGAAGUCUAGGAUAUCCUCUAGCAAUACAAGAGGAAUGAACAUGGUCAGGAUUCAGGAAUAUAAAUUCUACCUGUAUGUACUCAUCAACUGCCUGAAUUCCUCUUCAAUCUUCAGAGCAGACUUGGAUAAUAUAUUGUUGACGCGAGUUAGAAGUCCUUCAUCGCCCUUAAAGUUCUUGUUAGAGGAAAAGAAGCGAGCAAUGCCUUUCAGCAGAUCCACAGCUUCUAGGUAGCCCUCCAGAUCCUCAUGGGGCCCCCUCAGUAUCGUAGCUUCAGCCUAAGGCUCAACAGAGAAAGCAUGAACAUAAAUUUAGUGAACAAAAGAAGUCUUGUCUUCAAACCAUUCGGAGAUAAAGCUAAAUAAACAAAUAUAGCACCGAAAAUUCAAUUAAAAUCCAAUGUAAGAAUACAGACCUAUCUAAAAUAGCAGCAGCGUCAUAAGAAGAUUCUAACAAAAUUCUAUAUUGAAAUUUGAAAAGACUGUUCAGGUUACACCAUUACUACAGCCUAAUGAUUCAAAAGUGGUAAAGAAACUAACUAUUGCAACGGCUGAAAAAGUUUGAUGAAGCUCUCAACAAAACUACAGAAGCUAACCAUUGGUAUGGUUAUGACUGAAAAACGAAAUGAACUUUUCAGCUGCACUAAUAAAUAUGACCAUACAAAAAAAUUUAGUGUAUGACCAUCGUUAUCUAUCAGGUUGCAGAAGGGACCAUCAAUGGAAGGACCAUACUCAUUAGCCACCUUAAUACCCAACAUAAACCAAUCAAAUUCAUCGUAUAUUCUGUGUCUUUUUUUAUUUGUUUUUUUUUUUUUGCUGUGGAUUAAUUUCCAGACGGGGAUGGGUGCACCCACCCGGCGAGCAAUGUCGAACUGGGAGAGGAUGGCGUCGGCGGCCUUGAUCGUCUUGUCGAUGUUCUCGUGCGCCAUCCGGAUCGCGUGCGUCCUCACCUGCAUGCAUCACCAUCGAGACCACCAGGCGGCACUCACUCCCCGCGCCGCAUCGCCGACGAGCCAAUUGAAGGGAAUGGGGUAGAAAAAGGGGGGCGGGGGCACCUGGGUAGGGCGCAUGGCGGCCUCGAGCGCGGAGAGGCGGUGGUCGAAGGAGCCCAGGAUGGCGACCAUGCUCUCCGUGUUCCCCUGGCUCCUCUGCAACGCGUCCCGCAGCGCGCUCGCCCGCCGCGCCAGCACGUCCAUCGCCCGCGGCAGCUCCGCCUCGACCCCCAUCCUUCACACCCCCCCCCCACCGAACAACCCUCCUCGCCGGCCAAACCGAUCACGCUCCCCGCCACCGCGGGAGGCGCAGAACGACGGCCCCGACGGACCACCACGCGAGAAUGCUGCAGCGAGGAACAAAAUCAAUUAAGCGGUGAGGAGGCGUACGCGUACCUCCGGAGGGCGUGCGUUCGAGAAGGAUCCGGAAGGAGGCGGCGUACCUUCCAGAAGGUCCGGGAAGGAUGGAACGGCGCGGGGAACGGUGGUCGGCGUCGGCGAGGAAGGUUCACGAGUGGUACGUGUGCUCCCUCCCGCCGCCGCGGAGGGGGCGAUGGGGAGGUUGGGACGGGGGGAUCCUCGAGAUUCGUGCGGGGAGUGACUGACGUGUGGGCCACGCAAUUGGGAGCGGACGGACCGGAUUGGGUGGGUGUAGUGGAUCGGGUGUAGGGAGUGGGAGGUGAGCGGUGCCGGUUGUGUGUGUGGGGUGGGUCACAUGAUCCUCGGCGUUUGGUUUUUCCGAGUUUGGCACGCGGCGAGCGAGGAGCGCGGGGCGAGUGGGCCGGGUCCACCGUGCGCUUUUCCGGUUAUUCAUAGCCGGGACUUUUGAAACAUCUCCAACAAAAAAACUAAUAUAUAAGUUCUAAAAAUUAAAUUUUGGUACGAGAGACUGAAAACACAUUUUAACGGAUGCCUAAAAGCGCUUUUAAACUUUUAGCAUCUCUAAGUAUAUGUAUUUUUUGAGCUAAAUUUUAGCCUUCUGCUGGGUUCCCAAUACAACAAUUUAUCACCCUUGGGAACGAUCUCAGCCGGCUGUUGUCGCCGUCUCCCUCCUGGUUGGCUUCACGGCUGGUUGAUAGAUUUUGCUAGUCGAUGUGCCUAAAUAGGGGUUCUAUGAUGUAGCUCAGCGUGGAUUACAACCUGAAAAGUAUAUUGACGCAGCACACUAAAGUAUUGUAACAGAUAUAUACUAGUUCAUAAAGUUUUUUGCACACAAGUAAAUUGAUUAUAUCUAGCAUUUUACUCUGAAGUAGAAUACCAAUGAUUUUAAUUGAGAAAAGAUUAACGUGACACAUUUUAAAAAUUUUGGGAACCAAUUAUAGGGUUGUUGGAGAGAAAGGUGAUUUUUUUAUCUAAUAGUUUUUGGUACGAUACCGAUCAGAAUUAUUAGGGGCUAAUUUUUAGCCUCCUCUUGGAGAAGCUCUAGGGCCCUGUUUAGUUCUCGAAAACAUCACAUAUAAAUGAAGCAUUAAAUAUACAUGAACAUUAAAACUGAUUACACAGUUAUGGAGAAAAUCAUGAGACGAAUCUUUUAAGCCUAAUUAGUACAUGAUUGGUCAUAAGUGCUAUAAUAACCAAUAUGUGCUAAUGACAGAUUAAUUAGACUCAAAAGAUUCAUCUCACAGUUUCCAGGCGGAAUCUAAAAUUUGUUUUGCAAUUAGACAACGUUUAAUAUUUUGAAUGUGUGAUCGUACGUAUCGAUGUGACAUGUCUCCCAAAAAAUUUUAGGAACUAAACGCCGCCUAACUUAUAUAAUCCUUUGGGUCUUUUUUUAACGCCAUUAAUUUUUAUAGUUUAUUGUAUUUAUUUUUAUAUAAAUAUGUUUAAAUUUUAUUUAGUAAUAAACUAAUUGUAAUAGUAUAAUUAAUGAUAGAGAUUUUUAUUUAAAAUGAAUGGUCAAAUAUAUACUCAAAUGUUAACUAUGUCAAAUAUAAAAAAUAAGAGAGUAUAUGAUUUUGUUUUUAAAAAUCAUAUCGUUGUAUGUAUAAUAGCACAAUAAUAUAACUAUAAUGCACCUAACAUUAAUUACAAAUAUAACUAGUAUUCACGUAACCUAAAAAUUACUCAUAGUUGAAUUACUUACGUUAUACUCAUAUAUAUACAGACUACAGUGUAACUAUAUGUUAGAAUAAAUACAUUAUAGUUAUAUUUAUAUUAUACAAAAAUCAUACGUAGGAUUUUUAGCAAAGCAUUUCAUGGCCUCAUUUCUUUUAUUUUUUACUGGCAGUGGCAUUCUCAGGUUAUCCAAAAACUAUUACAACGUGGGAUUGUUUGGUUGCCAUUCAUAUUUUAUCACAUCUAAGGUAUUGUCGAGUUUAACUAGGUCCGAUCCUUUUGCUUUUUGAGAAUACUUAAUUUUGAGUAAAACUUUUAUACAUGUGUUCAUUGAGAUUCAAAUACAAAAAUUGCUAGAUAAAUGACAAAAAAAACUACUAAAUUAACUCCAAAAUUUAAUCUUAAAAAUCAAACUGUGGCUUAUAAGUAGAAGUGAAACAGUAAAAGCCUAAAUUGAUAGUUGUUUGGUUGUAGCAUAGUUGUGGGUAAAUUAUUGCAACAAACUAGAAAAAGUAUGUCAAGAUUCUUUUAAACUUGCUAUGGUAUAUUAAAAAAUUUAAGAUGUUGUUUGGUUGGUUGCCUUAUUUUUUUACCACAUCACACUUUAGUCAUACCAUAAUUUUUUAGUCGCAUGUUUGCUUUCCUGCCACAGUUACAUCAUGUCGCAUUUUCUUAACUUUAGGUCCUACGUGUCAAAUUUUGAAGCCAACCAUGCCACAAGUGUGGCUAGCUAUUUCGUAUCAAAGUUUUAGCUCAUGACACAACUUGCCUAAGUUUAGUAGAGGCAACCUUAGGUAUCAUAUAAACAAGCAUUUAACCUAGACUUAGAUCAAAUAUAAUAACGUAUUUUAUUCAUAUACAGUGGUAAAAUAUAGCCGACAGUUAAACUUUUCAUACAUCCCUAAAAAAAAUAUAAGGAGUCAUUUGAAAAUGCUACCAAACUAAGCCUUUCUAGCGUUGUUGGCAUUGUCAAAUUUUGAUAGAAUAAUUUUCCCACUCAACCAAAUGUUGCAACAUUUGGCAACGUCCAAUUUUUGGCAAAUUACUGUGAUGUUGUCAAACUCCCAAUGCAUUACAGCAUUUCUAAUGUCAGGCAACUAACCAAAUAAAUCGGACAUAUUUAUGGGCUUUAUCAAAGAAUGAUAUUGUUUGAGGACUCCUUUGAAACAAAGGAAUUUUAGAGAAAUUUUAAAGGUAGUAGAUUCCUAUGGAAAAGAAAUUCUAUAUGGCCCUCUGGAACAAAGGAAUGUCUCUUACAAAUUCCUUUGAAAUAUCUUAGUAAUGCCUCAAUAUAUGAAUUUUGGAGGAAUUUUAAUAAGAGAUCCAAUCUUUUAGAGAAAAAAAUCACUUUGUAUCUCCCUCCUAAUUCUCUUGUGUUUUUCCCGUGCUCAAUUCAAAUGGUUAUUCCUACGUUGUUUUUUUUCAAUCCAUGUGAUUUGGAUUGACAACACCAUCUUGUAUUUCUUAUAUUCCUAUGUUUUGAGAAUAAAUCGUUUCAAAAUAGUCCUGGAACUGGAAUGGUAUCAAUGCGAACCGCCUGAUUAUGAGUCUGGCCAUGGCGGUACAACUAAAGUGAUAAUAAGUAGGUUGAGAAGGAACGGCCAAUGGCAAUUAUAUGAAAGUAAAAUUGAAAUAAUAAAAUUUUCUGUUUCUGUUUGAAUCCAAAACAAUUUUUUUCUAACAAACACUGAAAUAACAAUAUUUAUCUGGGCUCUGGAUUUUCUGCCACUGUUUCUACGAGUACGAGUAACUGAACUGUGGGCACACAAGGAAUUGAACUAUGGUGCAGUCGUUUGGCGAGCUUCCCUGGCUUGAGAAAGUAGUAGAGUUGCAAGUUCCUUGCCCUGCCUUGCUGUAUUCCGCAGGCAGGCAUGCUUAAUGAGAUGUCAACUCUGGUUCGGACGUCGUUAAUUUUUAUCUAUAUUUAGUCAUUUAUCUUAUUUAAAAUUUUUAUAUAAAUAUAUAAAAUUAAAGGUCAUAUUUAAGGUUAUUUGGUAAUAUAUUAAAUCAUAAUAAAAUAUUUAUUUUAAUAAGACAAACGUGGAUCCAGAAAUAUUUUUUUUGUUGGAUCCGUCGCUCACUGAUCUUAGUAAUUUAAUCCAGCAUUAGUUGAUCAGAUGUACAGUGAACUUCCGAGAUCGAUGAACAAUUAAAAAAAUCUUGAAAACUGCACGAAGAAUUAUUAAGCUAGGCUUCGGCGCUACAGCAAAGAGCAUCUAUUCUCUCCCGCUUUGGCAUCCAUGCUUUUCGGUGACGAAGCUCUCAUAGUCAUAUUCCGUUCCAGCUUGCUCUUCAAGCAUGGCACAUUGUUUGCUUCGUCUCCAGGCUCUCCGAUCGCCUUACUAUAUAUGCGCGCGCCGCACCUGCACGCGAGUGCUGCGGGAAUCUCACUGAUCCAGAGCGAUGGAGGAGAGGAGAGCAACGCCGCCGCGGGCGGCGCCGGUGGUGGUNNNNNNNNNNNNNNNNNNNNNNNNNNNNNNNNNNNNNNNNNNNNNNNNNNNNNNNNNNNNNNNNNNNNNNNNNNNNNNNNNNNNNNNNNNNNNNNNNNNNNNNNNNNNNNNNNNNNNNNNNNNNNNNNNNNNNNNNNNNNNNNNNNNNNNNNNNNNNNNNNNNNNNNNNNNNNNNNNNNNNNNNNNNNNNNNNNNNNNNNNNNNNNNNNNNNNNNNNNNNNNNNNNNNNNNNNNNNNNNNNNNNNNNNNNNNNNNNNNNNNNNNNNNNNNNNNNNNNNNNNNNNNNNNNNNNNNNNNNNNNNNNNNNNNNNNNNNNNNNNNNNNNNNNNNNNNNNNNNNNNNNNNNNNNNNNNNNNNNNNNNNNNNNNNNNNNNNNNNNNNNNNNNNNNNNNNNNNNNNNNNNNNNNNNNNNNNNNNNNNNNNNNNNNNNNNNNNNNNNNCUGGGCGGCACCGGUGAUGGUGGCGGUCGCCGUGGUGUUCUUGGCGGCGGUGUCGUCCUUCCCCGGCGCGGCGGCGGCUGACGACGCGGCUGCAGGUGCAGGUGCAGGGGUAGCGCCGCCGGCGCUGGACACGAACGUUCUCUGCGUCAGCAAGUGCGGGACGUGCCCGACGGUGUGCUCGUCGCCUCCGCCCCCCCGCCGGCGCGGGAGGGUGCCGCCGCCGCGUGGCCCCGGCCGGCCCCCCGCCGGUGCGCCACCGAAGGGCGGCGGCGGCGGAGGGUCGUCGUCGUCGUCGUCGGGUGAGGCGAAGGGAGGGCGGCCCGGCGGCAGCAACUACUACUACUUCUUCACCUCCGGCAGCAGGCAGAGCUGCGCCGCGCCGCCGCUUCUGUGUCUCGUCGCCGUGAUUUAUAUUCUUUUCGUGAGUAGUUUAGUUUUCUGAUGUGUCAAUACCUCGUGAAUUAAGUACUGUACCUGUUUAAAUUAUGGAGCAUGUACGCUACGUUUUUCAAUCCAAUAGUGGAUUUUGGGUUUGCUUUUAAGCACCUAAAUGUUGUAUUUCGUGUGACACUUUUCUGCAGAAAAGUUUCUUAUAUGAUAUUUAAAACGAUUUCGGCUUUAGAGUAGCUAAUUCAAUCGUUUAUACUCUCAAAGACUAUCUCUC